CAACUACUCCCUCUGUCCCAAAUUUCUUGUCUUAGAUUUGUCUAGAUACGGAUGUAUCUAAUACUAAAAUGUGACUUGAUACAUCUGUAUCUAGACAAAUCUAAGACAAGAAUUUUGGGACGGAGGGAGUACUNA
rnacentral:pre_miRNA from 1 species